rnacentral:rRNA from 1 species
GACGAACGCUGGCGGCGUGCCUAACACAUGCAAGUCGAGCGGGGUCCAUCCAGUGGCAACACUGGGGAAGACCUAGCGGCGAACGGGUGAGUAACACGUGAGGAACUUGCCCGGAGUACGGGAUAACUCGAGGAAACUCGAGCUAAUACCGUAUGCCCUCUUCUGGUCGCAUGGCCGGAUGAGGAAAGAUUUAUCGCUCCGGGAGAGCCUCGCGGCCUAUCAGCUAGUUGGUGGGGUAACGCCCACCAAGGCAUCGACGGGUAGCUGGUCUGAGAGGACGAUCAGCCACACUGGGACUGAGACACGGCCCAGACUCCUACGGGAGGCAGCAGUGGGGAAUCUUGCGCAAUGGGCGAAAGCCUGACGCAGCAACGCCGCGUGCGGGAUGAAGGCC